UAUUCCUACGGGACGCAGCAGUAGGGAAUCUUCGGCAAUGGACGAAAGUCUGACCGAGCAACGCCGCGUGAGUGAAGAAGGUUUUCGGAUCGUAAAACUCUGUUGGUAGAGAAGAACGUUGGUGAGAGUGGAAAGCUCAUCAAGGGACGGUAACUACCCAGAAAGGGACGGCUAACUACGUGCCAGCAGCCGCGGUAAUACGUAGGUCCCGAGCGUUGUCCGGAUUUAUUGGGCGUAAAGCGAGCGCAGGGGGUUUAUU
rnacentral:rRNA from 1 species